AUAUAUUCACCUGUUUAUCAAAAACAUGUCUUUUUGAAUUUAAUUUAAAGUCUAACCUGCCCACUGAUAAAUUAUUAAAGGGCCGCAGUAUUUUGACUGUGCGAAGGUAGCAUAAUCAGUAGUCUUUUAAUUGAAGGCUUGUAUGAAUGGUUGAAUGAGAUAUAU
rfam:Aedes aegypti strain Liverpool supercont1.593 genomic scaffold, whole genome shotgun sequence.